rnacentral:rRNA from 1 species
AGCAGCCGCGGUAAUUCCAGCUCCAAUAGCGUAUAUUAAAGUUGUUGCAGUUAAAAAGCUCGUAGUUGAAUUUCGGGAUUGACGUGACGGUCGUGCCUUAAGGGGUAUGAACUGUCGCCGUUGAUUUCUCACCUUCUGGAGAAGCUCGAUGUCCUUAAUUGGAUGUCUUGUGGAACCAGGACCUUUACCUUGAAAAAUUAGAGUGUUUAAAGCAGGCAUUUUGCUCGAAUACAUUAGCAUGGAAUAAUAGAAUAGGACGGCAUGGUUCUAUUUUGUUGGUUUCUAGGAUCACCGUAAUGAUUAAUAGGGAUAGUUGGGGGCAUUAGUAUUCAAUUGUCAGAGGUGAAAUUCUUGGAUUUAUUGAAGACUAACUACUGCGAAAGCAUUUGCCAAGGAUGUUUUCAUUAAUCAAGAACGAAAGUUAGGGGAUCGAAGACGAUCAGAUACCGUCGUAGUCUUAACCAUAAACUAUGCCGACUAGGAAUCAGACGAUGUUAAUUUUUAAUGACUCGUUUGGCUA